rnacentral:rRNA from 1 species
AUGGCUGGUGGAGUCGUACCAGCUAGUCCAGCAUUGAGGAAUGACUGCAAUGAAGCUGCUGAAGCAAAUCCUGGUGGGUACAGGUUGCAGUGGACAAAAAAACUCUUUCUCCCUGUGGAAAUGAUGGGAGGCUUUUCUUAUUAUGUGGUGGACAUUGAGGAGAGGACUCUUGUUGUUUUGGAUCCAACAGAGACGAGCAUCCACAAUGAUGAGAUGAGUGUGAAACACAAAGUUAAUGCGAACCUGGUGCUGAGGGCACUUCGGCGGUGCCUCAGCAAUCAUUUCGCUGACUGGUAUGUCCCAGAGGAUGGCUGGAGUGUCACUUACGGGUACAACAUGAAUGAGCCGUGCGAGAUGUGUGGGAAAAUCUAA